GAUGAACGCUGGCGGCGUGCUUAACACAUGCAAGUCGAACGAUGAAGCCCAGCUUGCUGGGUGGAUUAGUGGCGAACGGGUGAGUAACACGUGAGUAACCUGCCCUUAACUCUGGGAUAAGCCUGGGAAACUGGGUCUAAUACCGGAUAGGAGCGUCCACCGCAUGGUGGGUGUUGGAUAGAUUUAUCGGUUUUGGAUGGACUCGCGGCCUAUCAGCUUGUUGGUGAGGUAAUGGCUCACCAAGGCGACGACGGGUAGCCGGCCUGAGAGGGUGACCGGCCACACUGGGACUGAGACACGGCCCAGACUCCUACGGGAGGCAGCAGUGGGGAAUAUUGCACAAUGGGCGCAAGCCUGAUGCAGCGACGCCGCGUGAGGGAUGACGGCCUUCGGGUUGUAAACCUCUUUCAGUAGGGAAGAAGCGAAAGUGACGGUACCUGCAGAAGAAGCACCGGCUAACUACGUG
rnacentral:rRNA from 1 species